rnacentral:rRNA from 1 species
GAUCGAAGGGCGCAUGGGGGAUGCCUUGGCUCUCGGAGGCGAGGAAGGACGUGACAAGCUGCGAUAAGCCACGGCGAGGGGCAAAUACCCAUUGACCCGUGGAUCUCCGAAUGGGGCAACCCGGCGGGAGCGAUCCCGUCACCCUGCAGAGCAGGGGGCGAACGUGGGGAACUGAAACAUCUAAGUACCCGCAGGAAGAGAAAGUAAGAACGAUUCCCCAAGUAGCGGCGAGCGAACGGGGA